rnacentral:misc_RNA from 1 species
GAUAAAGAACGUAGCGAAAUGCGAUAAGUAAUGUGAAUUGCAGAAUUCAGUGAAUCAUCGAAUCUUUGAACGCACAUUGCGCCCGCCAGUAUUCUGGCGGGCAUGCCUGUUCGAGCGUCAUUUCAACCAUCAAGCCCCCGGCUUGUGUUGGGGACCUGCGGCUGCCGCAGGCCCUGAAAACCAGUGGCGGGCUCGCUAGUCACUCCGAGCGUAGUAAUACAUCUCGCUCAGGGCGUGCUGCGGGUUCCGGCCGUUAAAAAGCCUUAUUUACCCAAGGUUGACCUCGGAUCAGGUAGGAAGACCCGCUGAACUUAAGCAUAUCAAUAAGCGGAGGA